rnacentral:rRNA from 1 species
GAUUCAGCGGCGGACGGGUGAGUAAUGCCUAGGAAUCUGCCCGAUAGUGGGGGACAACGUUUCGAAAGGAACGCUAAUACCGCAUACGUCCUACGGGAGAAAGUGGGGGAUCUUCGGACCUCACGCUAUCGGAUGAGCCUAGGUCGGAUUAGCUAGUUGGUGAGGUAAUGGCUCACCAAGGCGACGAUCCGUAACUGGUCUGAGAGGAUGAUCAGUCACACUGGAACUGAGACACGGUCCAGACUCCUACGGGAGGCAGCAGUGGGGAAUAUUGGACAAUGGGCGAAAGCCUGAUCCAGCCAUGCCGCGUGUGUGAAGAAGGUCUUCGGAUUGUAAAGCACUUUAAGUUGGGAGGAAGGGCAGUAAGCUAAUACCUUGCUGUUUUGACGUUACCAACAGAAUAAGCACCGGCUAACUCUGUGCCAGCAGCCGCGGUAAUACAGAGGGUGCAAGCGUUAAUCGGAAUUACUGGGCGUAAAGCGCGCGUAGGUGGUUCAGCAAGUUGGAUGUGAAAUCCCCGGGCUCAACCUGGGAACUGCAUCCAAAACUACUGAGCUAGAGUACGGUAGAGGGUGGUGGAAUUUCCUGUGUAGCGGUGAA